rnacentral:rRNA from 1 species
UACGUAGGGUCCGAGCGUUGUCCGGAGUUACUGGGCGUAAAGCGCGCGCAGGCGGCCUGCGAGGUGUCACGUGAAAGCCCCGGGCUCAACUCGGGAGGGUCGUGGCAAACCGGCGGGCUUGAGGCCGGUAGAGGUGGGUGGAACUCCUGGUGGAGUGGUGAAAUGCGUAGAGAUCAGGAAGAACACCCGUGGCGAAGGCGGCCCACUGGGCCGGUGCUGACGCUGAGGCGCGAAGGCGUGGGGAGCGAACGGG